rnacentral:rRNA from 1 species
AACCGGAUUAGAUACCCUGGUAGUCCAUGCCGUAAACGAUGAGUGCUAGGUGUUGGAGGGUUUCCGCCCUUCAGUGCCGCAGCUAACGCAUUAAGCACUCCGCCUGGGGAGUACGACCGCAAGGUUGAAACUCAAAGGAAUUGACGGGGGCCCGCACAAGCGGUGGAGCAUGUGGUUUAAUUCGAAGCUACGCGAAGAACCUUACCAGGUCUUGACAUCUUGCGCUAACCUAAGAGAUUAGGCGUUCCCUUCGGGGACGCAAUGACAGGUGGUGCAUGGUCGUCGUCAGCUCGUGUCGUGAGAUGUUGGGUUAAGUCCCGCAACGAGCGCAACCCUUGUUACUAGUUGCCAGCAUUCAGUUGGGCACUCUAGUGAGACUGCCGGUGACAAACCGGAGGAAGGUGGGGACGACGUCAGAUCAUCAUGCCCCUUAUGACCUGGGCUACACACGUGCUACAAUGGCCGGUACAACGAGCAGCUAACCCGCGAGGGUGUGCAAAUCUCUUAAAGCCGGUCUCAGUUCGGACUGCAGUCUGCAACUCGACUGCACGAAGUCGGAAUCGCUAGUAAUCGCGGAUCAGCAUGCCGCGGUGAAUACGUUCCCGGGCCUUGUACACACCGCCCGUCACACCAUGGAAGUUUGCAAUGCCCAAAGUCAGUGGCCUAACCAUUUUGGAGGGAGCUGCCUAAGGCAGGGCAGAUGACUGGGGUGAAGUCGUAACAAGGUAACC